rnacentral:snRNA from 1 species
GUGCUUGCUUCGGCAGCACAUAUACUAAAAUUGGAAGGACACAGAGAAGAUUAGCCCGGCCCCUGUGCAAGGAUGACAGGCAAAUUCGUGAAGGGUUCCAUGUUUUC